rnacentral:sRNA from 1 species
UCCGACAAGGAUGUCGGUCGUUCCACAUAGCAGCAAGUUUUUCGUGAGAAAAACUUGUUGUUGAGAAGCGUACACGGGUGUACGCUUCUCAACAAGC